UACAGAGACCUCAAGCGUUAUCCGGAUUGAUUGGGCGUAAAGCGUGCGCAGGCGGCUUCUUAAGCCGAUGGUUAAACCCUGAUGCUCAACAUCAGGACUGCCGUCGGAACUGGGAAGCUAGAGUAUGGAAGGGGUCAGCGGAAUUGCCGGUGUAACGGUAAAAUGUGUUAAUAUCGGCAAGAACACCAGAGGCGAAGGCGGCUGACUAGUACGUUACUGACGCUGUUUGCACGAAAGCGUGGGGAGCGAAUGGG
rnacentral:rRNA from 1 species